GCACUUCUGAAGAGUCCCACAAUAGUGCGAAACGGCCGUCCAGUAC
rfam:Schistosoma mattheei strain Denwood, Zambia genome assembly, scaffold: SMTD_scaffold0020479